CCCAGACUCCUACGGGAGGCAGCAGUGAGGAAUAUUGGUCAAUGGGCGGGAGCCUGAACCAGCCAAGCCGCGUGAGGGAAGAAGGUACAGCGUAUCGUAAACCUCUUUUGUCAGGGAACAAAGGCGGGGACUAGUCCCCGGAUGAGGGUACCUGAAGAAAAAGCAUCGGCUAACUCCGUGCCAGCAGCCGCGGUAAUACGGAGGAUGCGAGCGUUAUCCGGAUUUAUUGGGUUUAAAGGGUGCGUAGGCGGUCGGUUAAGUCAGCGGUAAAAUUGCGGGGCUCAACCCCGUCGAGCCGUUGAAACUGGCAGACUUGAGUUGGCGAGAAGUACGCGGAAUGCGCGGUGUAGCGGUGAAAUGCAUAGAUAUCACGCAGAACUCCGAUUGCGAAGGCAGCAUACCGGCGCCCAACUGACGCUGAAGCACGAAAGCGUGGGUAUCGAACAGGAUUAGAUACCCCUGUAUGA
rnacentral:rRNA from 1 species